rnacentral:rRNA from 1 species
CAUGCAGUCGAGCGAGAAACUCCGAGCAAUCGGAGGAGUAAAGCGGCGAGCGGGUGAGUAACGCAUGGGUAACCUACCUUCAGAACCGGGAUAACCUCGCGAAAGUGGGGCUAAUACCGGAUAAUCUGAUCAACUGAGAUGUUGAUCAGCAAAGUAAGCCUCUGCUUGCAAGCUUACAUCUGAAGAUGGGCCUGUGUCCGAUCAGCUAGUUGGUGAGGUAACGGCCCACCAAGGCUAUGACCGGUAGCUGGUCUGGAAGGACGGCCAGCCACACUGGAACUUAAACACGGUCCAGACUCCUACGGGAGGCAGCAGUGAGGAAUUUUGGGCAAUGGGCGAAAGCCUGACCCAGCGAUACCACGUGAGCGAUGAAGGCCUUCGGGUUGUAAAGCUCUGUCGAGCGGGAAGAUGACGUUGUUCUCUAACAGGGAAUAGCGUUGACUGUACCGCUGGAGGAAGCAUCGGCCAACUACGUGCCAGCAGCCGCGGUAAAACGUAGGAUGCGAGCGUUGUCCGGAAGUAUUGGGCGUAAAGGGCGUGUAGGCGGUUUAGUAAGUUCAGUGUGAAAUCCCUUAACUCAAAUAAGGAAGUGCACUGAAUACUGCUAAGCUAGAGUAUGGGAGAGGGAGGCGGAAUUCCCGGUGUAGAGGUGAAAUUCGUAGAUAUCGGGAAGAACAUCCUUGGCGAAGGCGGCCUCCUGGAACAAUACUGACGCUGA